rnacentral:rRNA from 1 species
CUGGCUCAGGAUGAACGCUAGCUACAGGCUUAACACAUGCAAGUCGAGGGGCAGCAUUAGAUUAGCUUGCUAAUUAGAUGGCGACCGGCGCACGGGUGAGUAACGCGUAUCCAACUUCCCCCUGCUCAGGGAUAGCCCGGUGAAAACCGGAUUAAGACCUGAUAGUUUCACUAGAUGGCAUCUGACGGUGAAUAAAGUUUUCGGCAAGGGAUGGGGAUGCGUCUGAUUAGCUUGUUGGCGGGGUAACGGCCCACCAAGGCGACGAUCAGUAGGGGUUCUGAGAGGAAGGCCCCCCACAUUGGAACUGAGACACGGUCCAAACUCCUACGGGAGGCAGCAGUGAGGAAUAUUGGUCAAUGGGCGGAAGCCUGAACCAGCCAAGUAGCGUGCAGGAAGACGGCCCUAUGGGUUGUAAACUGCUUUUGUGCGGGAAUAAAGUCAGGGACGCGUCCCUGUUUGCAUGUACCGCAAGAAUAAGGACCGGCUAAUUCCGUGCCAGCCGCCGC